rnacentral:rRNA from 1 species
GACAGAGGGUGCAAACGUUGUUCGGAAUUACUGGGCGUAAAGCGCGCGCAGGCGGCCUCGCGCGCCCGACGUGAAAGCCCCCCGGCUUAACCGGGGGAGGGUCGUUGGGGACGGCGGGGCUUGAGGGCGGGAGAGGUCGGUGGAAUUCCCGGUGUAGUGGUGAAAUGCGUAGAGAUCGGGAGGAACACCUGUGGCGAAGGCGGCCGACUGGGCCGACCCGUG